AUUGAACGCUGGCGGCAGGCCUAACACAUGCAAGUCGAGCGGAUGAGGGAAGCUUGCUUCCCGAUUCAGCGGCGGACGGGUGAGUAAUGCCUAGGAAUCUGCCUGUUAGUGGGGGAUAACUCGGGGAAACUCGGGCUAAUACCGCAUACGUCCUACGGGAGAAAGUGGGGGAUCUUCGGACCUCACGCUAACAGAUGAGCCUAGGUCGGAUUAGCUAGUAGGUGAGGUAAUGGCUCACCUAGGCGACGAUCCGUAACUGGUCUGAGAGGAUGAUCAGUCACACUGGAACUGAGACACGGUCCAGACUCCUACGGGAGGCAGCAGUGGGGAAUAUUGGACAAUGGGCGAAAGCCUGAUCCAGCCAUGCCGCGUGUGUGAAGAAGGUCUUCGGAUUGUAAAGCACUUUAAGUUGGGAGGAAGGGUAUUCACCUAAUACGUGGGUACUUUGACGUUACCAACAGAAUAAGCACCGGCUAACUCUGUGCCAGCCGCCGCGGUAAAAC
rnacentral:rRNA from 1 species